AUGGUGAUAUCAGCUGUUCUUCUUAGACUUAGUGGUCAACUGCUUUCGUGUGCAAAAAGCCCAGUACCAUCAGGCAGUAAACAAAAAGAAACAGCAGGGAGCAUCUCUAGUCUCAAGGUACUCAAAUCUAGAUGGAGGAAGAGAACAGGGAAUCACUCCUGGACUAUUCCCAAAGUCCAAAUUCUUGUUUCUUUACUAAGAAAAGCCAGCAUACCCAUGAAGACGCUCAGAAGAACAAAGGACCGUCCGUAGGAUUCCUAUUCCUUAGAAAGCAACUCUGGUAAUUUAGAGUGAUGCUUUUUCUCCUCUCUCUUAUGUUAUAUAUUGUCUCAACAUUUAGGACAGCUGUACCAGAUGGGUAUUAUUCCUCCCUUUUACGGGAGAGAAAACUGUGUCACAGUAAAAUACUUUGUCCAAGGUUGCAGGUUUUAAGUAGUGCAGAUAUAAUUUUUCAUCACAUCCCUUUGACUUGAGAACUACUGUUGUUUCUUGCUGCUCUUAAAAUGUACCAGAAAUUCCAACAUCUGUACUUCUAAACCGCGUUUCUCCCCACUGACUCAUGCCCCUGGGAGCGCAAAAAUCCCUUUUCAGACCACAUGUCCAGAGUUUGGGUUAGAAAAACAAGGUCAAAGACAAGAAGCCUUGGAAGUAGGGACUGAGCCCAUAUUCCUUCCUGCCUUCCUUAGUGGGUGAACUUCUCGCAUUGGAAGGUGCUCCGGCAGGAGUGAUGCUUGACGGCCUGGAGUGGCCCCAGUGUGGCCUUGGCAAGCCUGGCUAUUUGCAGCUCUGAGGGAUCGCAGCCCUUUCUGCGGGAACAGAGAUAAAAACCAUGGAGGCAAACAGGCACAUGCCAUUUUCUAUUUUAUUUUUAUUUCUUAGUCGUCUGCAGGCUCUGCCGGGAGGGCAGGGCUCAGGAGAGAGAUGCAUUACGGGAACUAAUGUGACCACGAAGUAGCCUCCAGCCUCUGUGUUCCUCUCUGGGUGGUAGCUUCUGCUGCUGGGCUGUCACCACAGCCCAGAAGCCACACCUCAGCAAGUAUCAUUGUGGGCCACGGCCCUCUAACACUCCUGCUGUGGGGAGCUCUGCUCCAGGGAGAUGCACAUGCUGUUUGGGGCUCCCACGUGCACUGCCUGACAGAUCGCAUCAGCUUUGCCAACGGGCUGAGCAAAAGAUGAGCCUGUGCACAGAAACAGCUACAGGGCAUGAAAGCACAUGACCCCAUGCCUGGUCUCAUCUACUCUCUUCACAUCUAGAUGAGGAGUGGAGCCAGUCAGUUAAGGAGCUGGUCACCUGCCCCCUGCAAUUCUUCUAUUUGGCAAUUAUAGGGCUGCUAUUCCCAGGAAGCCUCCCAGAGACACCAGAGUGCGUACACACAGCAGGAGAUACACUGGUAAUCAUUAUGUCAUCGUGGUUUUGACUUCUUUUCAUUAACUAAGAACGCUUCGCCCAAGUCGUCGGCCCUGCUAGCCUGUAGCUAUGUAGGCAGCCUUCACAUGUGUCAAAAGUUGAACUCAGUUUCCCAAUUGUCUGUUUCUUCCUCUAUAAUUUGGUGACACAGACAGAAAUCACUCAUCUGUGAGCUGACCCUGGGAAGAUAGAGCCAUCCUGUGGGUCUGUUCGAGAGUUGAAGGCAUUAAGGACAAAGACUCCCACUUAGACUGAAAUGUGGAGGAAUGACUUCUGAAAGGUGACAUCGUGGAGAAGUAGAGGCAGUCUGGAGUCACGUGCAACGUGCCCCGUGAUCCCAUCUUUGAAUAUGGAGUGCAAGUACCCAUGGAUGCCAAUGCUUGAGAGCCAAUAGCCUAUGUGAGAAAAGACACAGGGAUGUCUUUUAAAAUAUAUUUUCCUUAGACUCCUUGGUUGCAUUUUUGCAAAGUUGGUGGGUGAGGGAACAGCUGUUGACUGAGAUCCAGGUGUGGAAGAGUGAUCUGGAUGGCCAGGAGCCAUCCUGGAGCUGUCUUGGGCUGGAGCAGACCCAGAGAGGAAGGUUGACUCUUCACUAUGAUGGCACUGUGGCAAGCAGGACAGGUGAGGCCCAGCAUAGGGGGAGUGUGAACCACCCUCCUGAAGCAACUUCACCCUGGCACCAGCGACCCUGGUAUUUGUGGUCAUCCCUAAAAGCUAACCUUGCCCUGCGUGGCCUCGGUGAUUCAUCCCUAACACCGAGGGACAUCAAGGGAGCUCAAUGUGGGACUUGAUCCCAGGACCUGGAGAUCAUGACCUGAACCAAAGGCAGAUGCUUAACUGACUGAACCACCCAGGUGCCCCCUAACCCGUUUUAAAAACACAUAUCCUUCCCAUAUAUGCAGGAAGAGAUAAAGGGAGUGAAGAACAGCCAGGCUAUUCUGACGUCAGUUUUAGGGUCUAUUUUACACCUAAUUAAUAUCCUCUGUACCCUCUGGCCUUCCAGGAAUAUACAAGGGAAGAAGCCCUUUGGGUCACAAGUAAAACAACCUUGAAGGUCUGAUAACAGUUUUGAAGACUAAGCCAAGUAUUCAUUUUGUAAAGAGGAGGAGUAAUAGAAAUAAAAGAAAAAAAAAAAAACCUUUGAAAAUAGAU
rnacentral:lncRNA from 12 species